GGGCCAGGUAGCUCAGUUGGUAGAGCACUGGACUGAAAAUCCAGGUGUCGGCGGUUCGAUUCCGCCCCUGGCCCACC
rnacentral:tRNA from 1 species